rnacentral:rRNA from 1 species
GAUGAACGCUAGCGGCAGGCCUAACACAUGCAAGUCGAGGGGUAGAAGGAUUAAGCUUGCUUAAUUGCUGACGACCGGCGCACGGGUGAGUUACGCGAAUGCAACCUCCCUUAUACUGGGGUAUAGCCCGGCGAAAUCCGGAUUAAUCCCCCAUAGUCAUCAUGAAUCGCAUGGUUUACUCGUUAAAGCAUUUCGGUAUAAGACGGGCAUGCGUCCUAUUAGCUAGAUGGUGAGGUAGCGACUAACCAUGGCUACGAUAGGUAGGGGGCCUGGGAGGGUGGGCCCCCACACUGGUAGUGAGACACGGACCAGACUCCUACGGGAGGCAGCAGUGAGGAAUAUUGGUCAAUGGGCGCAAGCCUGAACCAGCCAUGCCGCGUGCAGGAAGAAUGCCCUAUGGGAUGUAAACUGCUUUUAUUUGGGAAUAAACCUCUUUACGUGUAGAGAGCUGAAGGUACCAAAUGAAUAAGCACCGGCUAACUCCGUGCCAGCCGCCGCCGUAA